rnacentral:rRNA from 1 species
UCCAGACUCCUACGGGAGGCAGCAGUGGGGAAUAUUGGGCAAUGGAGGAAACUCUGACCCAGCAAUGCCGCGUGAAUGAAGAAGGUCUUCGGAUUGUAAAGUUCUUUAGUCAGGGAAGAAGUCAAUGACGGUACCUGAAGAAUAAGCUCCGGCUAACUACGUGCCAGCAGCCGCGGUAAUACGUAUGGUGCAAGCGUUAUCCGGAUUUACUGGGUGUAAAGGGAGCGCAGGCGGUUCUGCAAGUCUGAUGUGAAAGCCCGGGGCUCAACCCCGGGACUGCAUUGGAAACUGCAGGACUGGAGUGUCGGAGGGGUAAGCGGAAUUCCUGGUGUAGCGGUGAAAUGCGUAGAUAUCAGGAGGAACACCUGUGGCGAAGGCGGCUUACUGGACGAUGACUGACGCUGAGGCUCGAAAGCGUGGGGAGCAAACAGGAUUAGAUACCCGCGUAA